rnacentral:rRNA from 1 species
CUACGGGGCGCUGCAGUGAGGAAUAUUGCACAAUGGGGGGAACCCUGAUGCAGCAACGCCGCGUGGAGGAUGACGCAUUUCGGUGUGUAAACUCCUUUUAUAUGUCAAGAAAAUGACGGUAGCAUAUGAAUAAGCACCGGCUAGCUCCGUGCCAGCAGCCGCGGUAAUACGGAGGGUGCAAGCGUUACUCGGAAUCACUGGGCGUAAAGGACGCGUAGGCGGGCUUGUAAGUCAGGUGUGAAAUCCUACAGCUUAACUGUAGAACUGCACUUGAAACUACGAGCCUAGAGUAUGGGAGGGGGAGAUGGAAUUAGUGGUGUAGGGGUAAAAUCCGUAGAUAUCACUAGGAAUACCUAAAGCGAAGGCGAUCUCCUGGAACAUAACUGACGCUAAGGCGUGAAAGCGUGGGGAGCAAACAGGAUUAGAUACCCUCGUAGUC